rnacentral:sRNA from 1 species
AGAAGUAUGCGAUAAUAACUUACGAGGCGCUCCGAUGUUCCCUCAGAGUAUCUGGGGCUUGAGUUGGAGAGCACCACCUUGUGAGACGCUACUUCU